rnacentral:rRNA from 1 species
UAGGGCGCAGGGCGGAUGCCUUGGCACUAAGAGCCGAAGAAAGACGUGAUAAGCUGCGAAAAGCUGCGGUGAGAUGCAAAUGAUCUUUGACCCGCAGAUAUCUGAAUGGGGCAACCCGGCAGAGAAGACCUCUGUCACUGCAUACUGAAUACAUAGGUAUGUAGAGGGAACCCGGUGAACUGAAACAUCUAAGUAGCCGGAGGAAGAGAAAACAAAAGUGAUUCCGUAAGUAGCGGCGAGCGAACGCGGAAGAGCCCAAACCGGGGAGCUUGCUCCCCGGGGUUCGGACUGUAUAAUCGAUGGAGUCUGCUAGUAGAAAGGGAAUGGAAAGUCCCUGCCAAAGAGAGUGAAAGCCUCGUAUACGAAAGCGGACAAAGCGAGACAGUAUCCAGAGUAGGACGAGACACGUGAAACCUUGUCUGAAUAAGCGGGGACCACCCCGUAAGGCUAAAUACUCCUUAGUGACCGAUAGCGAAUAGUACCGUGAGGGAAAGGUGAAAAGAACCCCGGGAGGGGAGUGAAAGAGAACCUGAAACCCUGUGUCUGCAAGCUGCGAAAGCACUAUAAGCAAUUAGUGCGAUCGCGUACUUUUUGUAGAACGGUCCGGCGAGUUAUGUAUGGAGGCGAGGUUAAGCACUUAAGGUGAAUAGCCGAAGGGAGACCGAGUCUGAAUAGGGCGUAUAGUCUUUAUACAUAGACCCGAAACCGGGUGAUCUAUCCAUGGACAGGAUGAAGCGGCCGUAAAAGGCUGUGGAGGUCCGAACACACAUCCGUUGAAAAGGGUGGUGAUGAGCUGUGGAUAGGGGAGAAAUUCCAAUCGAACUCGGAGAUAGCUGGUUCUCCCCGAAAUAGCUUUAGGGCUAGCCCUGUAGCGAGCCUUUUGGAGGUAGAGCACUGAAUAUCCGCGGGGGCUUCACCGCUUACCAAAGAUUAUCAAACUCCGAAUGCCAAGUAGGUGAUGCACAGGAGUCAGACUACACGAGAUAAGUUGGGUAGUCAAAAGGGAAAGAGCCCAGAUCUACGGCUAAGGUCCCAAAGUACGUGUUAAGUGGAAAAGGAUGUGGGAUUUCAUAGACAGCUAGGAUGUUGGCUCAGAAGCAGCCACACAUUCAAAGAGUGCGUAAUAGCUCACUAGCCGAGAGGUCCUGCGCCGAAAAUUACCGGGGCUGAAACACGACACCGAAGCCUAGGGAUCGUAAGUAUCUACGGGUGCUUAUGAUCGGUAGGGGAGCAUUCACAGGGGCGUAGAAACUGUACCGAAAGGAGCAGCGGAGCGCUGUGAAGAGAGAAUGCCGGAAUGAGUAGCGAGAUGAAGGUGAGAAUCCUUCAGGCCGAAUAUCCAAGGAAUCCAGGGUAAAGCUGAUCUGCCCUGGGGAAGUCGGGACCUAAGCUGAGGCCGAAGAGGCGUAGGCGAUGGACAGCAGGUUGAUAUUCCUGCACUUGUAUAUAUCAGAACUGUGGGGACGCAGGCAAAAGGGAUGAGCCGGGGAAGGAAGAACCGGUCCCGCAAGGGGGAACGAAGUAAAGUAGUGAAGCAUCAGAUAUGACUGCCAAGAAAAGCCACUAUAGCGUAUAUACAACCCGUACCGUAAACCGACACAGGUGGAUGAGGAGAGAAUCCUAAGGCCGACGGGAGAAGCAUUGUUAAGGAACUCGGCAAAAUGUCCCCGUAACUUCGGGAUAAGGGGAGCCUGAGCAAUCAGGCCGCAGAGAAGAGGCUCAAGCAACUGUUUAGCAAAAACACAGGUCUAUGCGAAACCGAAAGGUGAGGUAUAUGGGCUGACGCCUGCCCGGUGCUGGAAGGUUAAGAGGAGAGGUUAGCGCAAGCGAAGCUUUGAAUUUAAGCCCCAGUAAACGGCGGCCGUAACUAUAACGGUCCUAAGGUAGCGAAAUUCCUUGUCGGGUAAGUUCCGACCCGCACGAAAGGCGUAAUGAUUUGAGCACUGUCUCGGCAAUGCACCCGGUGAAAUUGAAGUACCAGUGAAGAUGCUGGUUACCCGCGCCAGGACGGAAAGACCCCAUGGAGCUUUACUCCAGGUUGAUACUGGGGUCCGGUAUUAUAUGUACAGGAUAGGUGGGAGACU